UCAAAGACCUAUGUUCGAUAUGGAUGGUAGUAACGUUAUGUACUAUAUGAAAUUCUUCAUGAAAUUGUUCUGAAUUCAGUUAGCUCAUGCCUAGUUUUAGCAGUCUUUGAACUUAAUCUUUUACCAAUUACUGAGACUAAUAUAACGACCCAGUUGUCUAAUGUGCAUCUCAUGGUCUAUUAAGUAGAAGACAGAACCCAUGUGAAUGAAUUGUUACCGUAAUCUUACGUGGCAUGUAAGUGUCAGUAAUUGGGAACACAGUGAGAGCAGGCACACAUUCCAAAGGUUUGUUACCAUCCUUUUAUGUGUGAGUCAGUUCCCUUAUUACUGAAAGAAAAAAUGGAGUUGGGAGACCCGCGCCCCCCCCCCCCCCCCCCGCCUCUAGCCAGUCACUGGUCACACCUGUCAACAUAAUGUUGAGUGAAUCCCAUCCGUGUUUGAGUAAAGCGGGAUGAACCCUGGUUCACUUGAAGGGGCAAUGAGGCCUCUAAAGCAGUGGUCUUAUCUUGUGGUUUGACUCAUGGAGCGCCUGUCUCACAGUGUCUUUCACUCUUUUGGCCUAGCUCACACAAGGUGCGUGAGUGGGUCCUCUGGCCUCACCGACCAUUUUCAGAAAUUUCUCAGGAUAAGGGAAAGAACCAGUUCGCCUGAGCCGCUUGACUUAUAUGAGUUGGCAAGUAAACUGUUUUUCCUGCAGUUGUGCUGGGCUGUCCACCCAAAGUCAAGUCUCCUUGCAGAUUUCUACCAUCACCAUCCCCUUCAGGACCUGUGGUGGCAAAGUCCAGUCCAGGUCAUCCUGUGGGCCUGUACGGAGAAGAGAGUGGAACUGGAACCAACAGUCAAGAGCAGGCAGACAAAUGUUGCUGCGACCAGACGUUGUGUUUCGUGGACAAUAGAUUUCUGGUAUCUGAGUGAGAAAGACCCUUGGCCCUUUCUAGCUCUCAUCUUUGAGCUUGAGUUUCCACAGAUGGAGAUGGGGAGCACACCUUGCUAUCAGGACCAGCAAAUUUCCUCAGCGAUUCCUUCAAUCUCUCUAGAAACCAACUUCUCUACUUCUCCUGUGAUGCCAGGGGAAAGCCGGGCAAUUCGGACUUUGCCUUCUCUGAGCUGCAGUCUUUCCGGCCAACAUGGACACCUUUCGUCAAAGCUGAUGUGGCUCAGCACCAAGUUCAGGCUGGAGGCUUCUUGUUCACUGGCAGUGCCACCAAGAUCUCCUCUGUUCCCUGUCUGUAUAAAGUCACUUGUUUUCUGGGGGGUGUUAAUUUGUUGAAACUUAAGUGAAGAGUUUGGGUAAUUGGGAGGGAGUUCUUGAUACAAAUCUGCACUAGGUAAGGUGCGUUCCAAGACGCUUCUGCCCUUUAGUCUCAUGGAUGGCUCUGGUUCCCGGUUCCUCUAUUGCUUUAUUGGCACAGGUUUCAUCCAGAAGGUCGCAUCACAGAAGCUGAAGUUCACUCACCAAGGGUGAAAACAAUCCACAUUUCUUUGUGAGUAGAGACUAAAGUAUGUUGCCUUUAUGCAGCCCACUGACACUUCAAAGUCAUUUGAUCCUUCUGAUUGGUUGGAUCACAUAAGAUUUGCAGAAGAUAGGGGUCAUUAUGUUGUCUGCCCAGUGAAAACCUGAGACCUGAGAUACUUAGAAAUACCUGUGCUCAAGCCCAUGUUCCUUCACCAAGUGACAUGACAGUGACCAUCACUGGCCUGGUUGCUAGUCAAAAACUCAACUUGUGAAACUUAACCGUAACUGCGAUGCCUUCUUCCCCUUCCACAUACACUAGGGCCCACUGCCCAGGACAUUCAUUUGAGGUCCCUUCAUGGCGGGAGGGGUGCGAAAGACCUAGAUGAAUGGUUUCAGGGUCAAUCUGCUGAGUAUUGGCACUUGAAAACAAGUGACGGCUUUGAGGAUUCCAAAAGAGUGACUCUAAUUGAUGACAUUCUCAAAAUCAAGACUCUCAGGGAAAGAGAAGCUGAUCGGGUUCUCUCCCAGGAGUUCGUUCUGAGGCGAGCCAUGUCACUCACCCAGUGAGACAUGUACUCAUGAAUGUCUGCUCACUCCUGGGAGUGUUAAUGUGCUGUAGCUUUUGGUGUGAAGUAUUCCAUGUCAAAGUCGCGUUUGCCAUAUGUAUUUUUUCAUUCCUCUUGUUGCUGUGGGGGUUGGAAAGAGAAGGGAUUAUAUUGGACCCCUUAAGGGUAGGCUCCUGAAAUGGAGUGUAUUCCUUGUUAUACUGGUUCCCUGUUCUGUGCAAAAUGUCUAUGGCGGAAUAGUAUUCCAU
rnacentral:lncRNA from 1 species